UACGAAGGGGGCUAGCGUUGCUCGGAAUCACUGGGCGUAAAGCGCGCGUAGGCGGCUUCUUAAGUCCGCGGUGAAAUCCUGGAGCUCAACUCCAGAACUGCCCGUGAUACUGAGGAGCUCGAGUCCGGAAGAGGUGAGUGGAACUGCGAGUGUAGAGGUGAAAUUCGUAGAUAUUCGCAAGAACACCAGUGGCGAAGGCGGCUCACUGGUCCGGUACUGACGCUGAGGUGCGAAAGCGUGGGGAGCAAACAGG
rnacentral:rRNA from 1 species